UUAUGAUUAAUAUAACUUCAGUUGAUUCACUGAUGAUCAACUACUGAAUGUUCAUUAGAAAUCAGCAGCAUAUAGAAAACUAUUGAGAAAUAUAAUCUGAUACUGAUACAAAGUCUUAAUAAGUGGAGAAAUUUCAUUUAAUAUCUUUUUAAACAGAAUUUAAGUUGUUUUUUUUUUUAAUCAGUAUGACAGAUUUUCUCCUGAAAGGAAGCAGCUUUGAAUAAGUGCACCACCCCUCUGUUUCAGACGGACUGUCCUCCGGCCAGGACUAUAAACAGCAGGUCUCGUCUGUUCUCACUCAUUCUUAUCAAAGAUGACUGCAAACGCUCUGAUCAUCUGCUCUCUGCUGCUUUCUCUUGCUGGUUGUUUUGCUGAGAUCAUUCUGACUCAGAGUCCAUCCGUGAAUCAAGUGUCCGUGGGAAGCAGCGUCACUCUCAACUGCAGGUCCAGUGCUGAUGUAUCAUCCCAUUUAGCCUGGUAUCACCAGAAACCUGGACAAACACCCAAACUCCUGUUCUCUAGUGUUGGUAGCAAAGUGUCUGGAGUUUCUGAGAGAUUCAGUGAUGGGAGAUCAGGAACAAACUACAUGCUCAGUAUUAGAAAUGUCCAGCCUGAAGAUGCAGGAGAUUAUUACUGUCAGCAGUAUGCUCAAUGGCCAUUAACACAGUGAUACAGAGCCGUACAAAAACCCCUUCAGUGAAAGAGGAACUGCUGAUUUAGACACACACUGCACACAUGCACCUUGAACAUUUAUGAACCCCUUGCAGAAUCUAUGAAAAUGUGAAAAAAUGUAACAAAAUAAGAGGUAUCUUACAACAUACAUGUUGUAAGAUCCCUGCAACUUUUGCAUUUUUUUUUUUUUUUUUUUUAUAAAUUCAGCUAUUUUUUCUUCUUCUUGUGGACUAUUUGUAAACAUAUUUUAUGUAAAAUAUCUUAUUCAGGACAGUACUAAAUAAAAAGUAACAUGCAUUUUGUAUGGUCUCUCUUAUUUUAUUAAAAUUAUUUAUUUUCACAGAUUCUGCAAGGGUAUAUUAGAGAGGUUGGUUGUUUCCAGUUUUGUUCAUUGUCGUUUAAAUUUUAAUGGAACCACUCACUGUCAUAGCAGACACUAACAUAAUAUGUGCUGCAAGGUAUUGUAUACCAUAUCCCAUUGUGCAUAACUGCACACAGAUAUUUCCCGCCAUAAUCGGCUGGUCCUUAUGGAAGCUUAUGGUAGCAAUAUUCAGUUUGAAAUGUAAUAUGCAAAAUGUCAAUGCAUUAUGUAAAAUGGAAAUGCAUUUGUGUAUUUAAAUUUACAUUUUCCACACCAUAUGUGCAACGUUUAUCUAGAUUAUGCAUUAGCUGUCACAGUCACUGUCUGUCGCACUUUCCCCGGACUCCAUUUCCCAGCAUCCCUCUGUCCCUCACCUGCACUCAGUCACCAAUCACCUGCACCUGAAAGCCAUCACCAUUGUUAGCAUUAGCUCUAUAUUUGGACAAUAAAACUUGUAAAAUGAUAGAUAAUCUUCUAUUUAAUUUUGUUUGGAGGAAUGCAAUUAGGCCUAUAAUAUUGAAAAAUUACCUGUAAAGCUGUCUGCAUUUCAUAAAUAAAUGCUU